UGGCCCUACGGGGGGCAGCAGUGGGGAAUAUUGCACAAUGGGCGAAAGCCUGAUGCAGCAACGCCGCGUGAAGGAAGAAGGCCUUCGGGUCGUAAACUUCUGUCCUUGGGGAAGAAGAACUGACGGUACCCAAGGAGGAAGCCCCGGCUAACUACGUGCCAGCAGCCGCGGUAAUACGUAGGGGGCAAGCGUUAUCCGGAAUUACUGGGUGUAAAGGGAGCGUAGACGGUUAAGUAAGUCUGGAGUGAAAGGUCGGGGCCCAACCCCGGGACUGCUCUGGAAACUAUUGAACUUGAGUGCAGGCG
rnacentral:rRNA from 1 species